GCGGCUUGUUUUCCCGGCUAGGCUCUGGAGCGGCGGGCGCGGCGCGAUGCGCGGGUACCCGGGAGCGAACGGCUGCAAGCCCCGAUGAAGCUCGAGCAGCCCCAGCCUGAUGGAGGCGCCUCCGUGGGAGCCGGUGCGCAAUGACUCCCUGCCUCCCACGCUGAGCCCCGCGGUGCCGCCCUACGUGAAGCUCGGCCUCACCGCGGUCUACAACCGUCUUCUACGCGCUCCUCUUCGUGUUCAUCUAUGCGCAGCUCUGGCUGGUGCUGCGCUACCGUCACAAGCGGCUCAGCUACCAGAGCGUCUUCCUCUUCCUUUGCCUCUUCUGGGCCUCGCUGCGUACCGUGCUCUUCUCCUUUUACUUCCGAGACUUCGUGGCAGCCAACUCGUUCAGCCCCUUCGUCUUCUGGCUGCUCUACUGCUUCCCCGUGUGUCUACAGUUCUUCACCCUCACGCUCAUGAACUUGUACUUCACGCAGGUGAUUUUCAAGGCCAAGUCAAAAUAUUCUCCAGAGCUACUCAAAUACCGGUUACCCCUCUACCUGGCCUCACUUUUCAUCAGCCUCGUUUUCCUGUUGGUGAAUCUGACCUGUGCUGUGCUGGUGAAGACGGGAGACUGGGACAGGAAGGUUAUCGUCUCUGUGAGAGUGGCCAUCAAUGACACACUCUUUGUGCUGUGUGCUAUCUCUCUCUCCAUCUGCCUCUACAAAAUCUCCAAGAUGUCCCUGGCGAACAUCUACUUGGAGUCAAAGGGCUCAUCAGUGUGUCAGGUAACUGCCAUUGGUGUCACCGUCAUCUUGCUCUACGCCUCUCGGGCCUGCUACAACCUGUUCAUCUUGUCAUUUUCUCAGAUCAAGAACGUCCAUUCCUUUGAUUAUGACUGGUACAAUGUAUCCGACCAGGCAGAUCUGAAGAGCCAGCUGGGUGAUGCCGGCUACGUAGUGUUUGGCGUGGUGCUUUUCGUGUGGGAGCUCCUACCCACCACCUUGGUGGUUUAUUUCUUUCGAGUCAGAAAUCCCACGAAGGAUCUUACCAAUCCUGGGAUGGUCCCCAGCCAUGGAUUCAGUCCCAGAUCUUACUUCUUUGACAACCCCCGAAGAUAUGACAGUGAUGAUGACCUUGCCUGGAACAUUGCCCCUCAGGGACUUCAGGGAAGUUUUGCUCCAGACUACUGUGAUUGGGGACAACAAAAUAACAGCUUCCUGGCACAAGCAGGAACUUUGCAUCAAGACUCCACUUUGGAUCCAGACAAAGCAAGCCAAGGGUAGCAGCAGCUGACACAGCCCUAUGGAAGAGUUCUCUGUUGACAGCCUUCAGCCAGACAGACCGGAUGACAGCUGAGUUGCUAAGGCAGUUUUCCUUAGGAAACAGAACUCUAGUUUUUGCUAUAGCUUUCUCAUGGCUCCACAGGGCUAAGCAAUAAUUUAGAGCAAUAAACCCUUUAGUACUAGCAGAGAAUCUGGCUAUUUCAGUGGGUAUAAUUUAAACUUAUAAAAGAGAUUCUGUACUUUUAUAAAGAUGUAUUUUAUAUAACUUAAAUACUAAUGCUAAAGUAUACUAGGUUUUUCCUUGAUUGUUAAUUUGUUAAUUGCAACGUAUGUUGUAGUUUGCACAGACUUUCACGCAGAAUUCACUUUAAAACGUAUAGAAUGCGUGGUCUAAUAGUUUAAAGCUUUGGGAAAACUUUCCACAAAUCUUACCUCUGAAGGUUCCUCUUGUGAGUGCCACGUGGUGGGCUCCUUUCACCGCCACUCAAGCAUUCCAAGUUAAGGGGAAGCAGAGUACCACGGUCUGUACGUAACAGGCUCAGCAGCAGCAAUUUCUCGUAAACUCUGUCCUAAGCCUGGUCCUUCUUCAUCUGAAAGCACUACUACAAGCACUCCAGUAACAAGUGGAUACUGUUAAGAUGUAGUUGCUGACACUAUUAAACCUCCUCUGCUGUGUGUGUAGCCAUUUUGUAGAGUUUUCUUCAGCCCGGUGUAACUGAAUACUCACUACCUCAGUAGGAUGGAAGGACUGCGCCUUCUUUGACUCAGCCAGUGCUCUCUAUAGUCAGGCUACAAGCCAAGAGGUCCCCACAGAGUAUUAACAAUAAACACUUCUGGCCUUCAAGCUCUAAAGGAUUGCAGACUCCUGACAGCUUUUCUGUAAGACAUGCCUGUCAUUUGUAUGAGGCUGACACGGUGCUCACUCGCUGCCUGUUAUUUUUAGAUAGUGUUCUAUUAAAAGCUACGUGUAUGAGAAAGUGGGCUCUGCCUCUGUGGCAGCACCAUCCCUCUCUCAGCCAGAGAGCGUUCCAGACAGUGGUCCUCAUGUGCCAUCUCCGUGCUGUCCUGGGAAAACUCUGGAACCAAUGUGGCCCUCCUGGAGGCCGGAUGCUCUGGCUUCUUCUGGUCCUAUAGGUCACAGAGCCACGCCCACUUUCUCCCAUUUUGUUAUAUUUAAGAUUGGGAGCCCAGUUUCCAGUGGGUUGUGAUAGGGUCUUCAUUGUACAGAGCACGACGUGGAGGAACUUACGCAACCCCUCCCCACACCCUGCCUUUGGGGUGGAGUAAACAUCUGGGUUGCAAGCCAUUUAAAAUUGCUUCUUUGCCAGGGUGAAUUCUGGCAAAGCCUACACAAAUCGCCUGUACGAUAGCACUGUAUAAAAGUUUAUCUGUCACCAUACCUGCAAUGAUUUGGCUGUUGCAGCCAGUGCCCACAGCUCCUGUGUCCUUGUCUCUAGCAGGGCGGUACCUGCCAGCAGCCAAGGGCAAGGCUUGCUGGAAAGCACAGCCUCAUUAAGGCCGUUCUGUUUGCACCCAUUUUGUAGCACAUGCACACUUUACAGUUGGUGAAUGCUAGGCGUCUGUUUUCUUACAGUAACAAGCAAGCUAUCAUCCAUUUUUACAACAAAGUUGUCAGCAUUCAUGUCAGCAAUAAAAAGACUACAGCUCUUAAA